rnacentral:rRNA from 1 species
CCCAGACUCCUACGGGAGGCAGCAGUGGGGGAUAUUGCACAAUGGGGGCAACCCUGAUGCAGCGACGCCGCGUGAGCGAUGGAGUACUUCGGUAUGUAAAGCUCUGUCAGCAGGGAAGAGAAUGACGGUACCUGACCAAGAAGCCCCGGCUAAAUACGUGCCAGCAGCCGCGGUAAUACGUAUGGGGCAAGCGUUAUCCGGAUUUACUGGGUGUAAAGGGAGCGUAGGCGGCAGGGCAAGCCUGAUGUGAAAGCCCGGGGCUCAACCCCGGGACUGCAUUGGGAACUGCCCCGCUCGAGUGCCGGAGGGGCAGGCGGAAUUCCUAGUGUAGCGGUGAAAUGCGUAGAUAUCACGCAGAACUCAGAUUGCGAAGGCAGCGCACCGGCGCCCUACUGACGCUCAGGCACGAAAGCGUGGGUAUCGAACAGGAUUAGAUACCCCAGUA